rnacentral:rRNA from 1 species
CCUACGGGGGACAGCAGUCGAGAAUCAUUCACAAUGGGGGAAACCCUGAUGGGGCGACGCCGCGUGGGGGAAUGAAGGUCUUCGGAUUGUAAACCCCUGUCAUGUGGGAGCAAAUUAAAAAGAGAGUACCACAAGAGGAAGAGACGGCGAACUCUGUGCCAGCAGCCGCGGUAAGACAGAGGUCUCAAGCGUUUUUCGGAAUCACUGGGCGUAAUGGGUGCGUAGGCGGUUUCGUAAGUCGUGUGUGAAAGGCGCGGGCUCAACCCGCGGACGGCACAUGAUACUGCGAGACUAGAGUACUGGAGGGGGAACCGGAAUUCUCGGUGUAGCCGU